UACGAAGGGUGCAAGCGUUGCUCGGAAUUAUUGGGCGUAAAGGGUAGGUAGGUGGUAGUAAAAGUCUGGGGUGAAAUCCCUGAGCUCAACUCAGGACGUGCCUUGGAAACUUUACUACUAGAGUACUGGAGAGGUUCGUGGAAUUCCCGGUGUAGCGGUGAAAUGCGUAGAGAUCGGGAGGAACACCAGAGGCGAAGGCGGCGAACUGGACAAUAACUGACGCUCAGCUACGAAAGCGUGGGUAGCAAACAGG
rnacentral:rRNA from 1 species